GACGAACGCUGGCGGCGUGCUUAACACAUGCAAGUCGAACGCAGUGGCGAACGGGUGAGUAACGGGUAAUCAACCUGCCCUUCAGAGGGGGACAACCGUUAGAAACGACAGCUAAUGCCGCAUAAUGAAGGAGUGGGUUGGGUGGGAUUAGCUAGUUGGGGGGGUAACGGCCCACCGAGGCGAUGAUCAGUAGCCGGUCUGAGAGGAUGAACGGCCACAUUGGGACUGAGACACGGCCCAGACUCCUACGGGAGGCAGCAGUGGGGAAUCUUCCGCAAUGGACGAAAGUCUGACGGAGCAACGCCGCGUGAGUGAUGACGGCCUUCGGGUUGUAAAGCUCUGUUAAUCGGGACGCGGUACCGGAAUAGAAAGCCACGGCUAACUACGUGCCAGCAGCCGCGGUAAUUC
rnacentral:rRNA from 1 species